rnacentral:tRNA from 1 species
UGUUGUAUGGCUUAGUUGGUUACAGCGCCGGUCUAGCGAAUUCGGUACGGAGUCGUGGGUUCGAAUCCCACCAAAACGC